rnacentral:rRNA from 1 species
AACGAACGCUGGCGGCAUGCCUAACACAUGCAAGUCGAACGAGACCUUCGGGUCUAGUGGCGCACGGGUGCGUAACGCGAGGGAACCUGCCCUUAGGUUCGGAAUAACUCCCCGAAAGGGGUGCUAAUACCGGAUAAUUUCUUCGGACCAAAGAUUUAUCGCCUUUGGAUGGGCCCGCGUUGGAUUAGCUAGUUGGUCGGGUAAAAGCCUACCAAGGCGACGAUCCAUAGCUGGUCUGAGAGGAUGAUCAGCCACCCUGGGACUGGGACACGGCCCAGACUCCUACGGGAGGCAGCAGUGGGGAAUAUUGGACAAUGGGCGAAAGCCUGAUCCAGCAAUGCCGCGUGAGUGAUGAAGGCCUUAGGGUUGUAAAGCUCUUUUACCCGGGAUGAUAAUGACAGUACCGGGAGAAUAAGCGCCGGCUAACUCCGUG